GUCCACGCCGUAAACGAUGAUCACUGGACGUUGGUCGUGCAUAGCAUGAUCAGUGUCGAAGCUAACGCGUUAAGUGAUCCGCCUGGGGAGUACGAUCGCAAGAUUAAAACUCAAAGAAAUUGACGGGGGUCCGCACAAGCGGUGGAACAUGUGGUUUAAUUCGACACUACGCGAGAAACCUUACCUAGGCUUGACAUGUAACUGCUACCGGUAGAAACACUGGGUUCUGUAGAAAUACAGACGGUUACACAGGUGCUGCAUGGCUGUCGU
rnacentral:rRNA from 1 species